GGUAGUUUGCGCUACUCCUUCUUUUUAUUUAUUUUUUUAUCUACCUCUAUUAUA
rnacentral:misc_RNA from 1 species